CUACUAUUUUCUAUUUAUUGGUAGAGUGGAGCCUGGAAAACUCGGGUUGAUGCCAGCAGUGGUUCUGUGGAUAUCAGGUGGUGCCCCAAACGCACUACUUUCUAUUUAUUGGUACAGCGGAGCCUGGAAAACUCCGGUUGAUGCCAGCAGUGCUUCUGUGGAUGUCAGAUGGUGUCCCCAAACCCGCACGCUGGGAGUGCUCCCACCUCCUGCUGGAUGGUGGAGAGGAGCGAGAGGACAGAGGUGGUGCUGGGAGGGGCUGAGGGCUGCUGGGCCUCUCAGGCUUCCCUGAGGCAGCGGUUGUCUGGGUGCUGGACGAUGCCCCCGAGCCGACACCCUGAGGGGACCGCUCCCGUCCCCUGAAGGAUGGUGGAGGAGGAGGAGGCAGAGGUCGGGGGGGCGGCGUUGGUGGCCGGGGGCUGCUGGGCCUGUUGCUCAUCUGCCGGGGAGCCGUUAUUUCAGUGCCGGCCGAUGACCGCAAGCCUCCACCCCGGGCAGGUUCCUUCCGUCCCCUGAAGGAUGGUGGAGGGGGACGGGGGGGUGGUGUUGAUGCCCGGGGGGGCCGGGGGCUGCUGGGCCUGUCGCUCAUCUGCUGGGGAGCCGUUGUUUCAGUGCUGGCCAAUGACUGCGAGCCUCUACCCCGGGCAGGUUCCUUCCGUCCCCUGAAGGAUGGUGGAGGGGGACGGGGGGGUGGUGUUGAUGCCCGGGGGGGCCGGGGGCUGCUGGGCCUGUCGCUCAUCUGCUGGGGAGCCGUUGUUUCAGUGCUGGCCAAUGACUGCGAGCCUCUACCCCGGGCAGGUUCCUUCCGUCCCCUGAAGGAUGGUGGAGGGGGACGGGGGGGCUGUGCUGAUGCCCGGUGGGUCUGGGGGCUGCUGGGCCUGUUGCGCAUCCCCCGGGAUGUGGAGCCCAGGCCGGUGGGCCGCGGGGGCCGAGGUGGGGGCAGCUGAGCCUGGCUGCUGUCCAGCCUGGCAGGGGCUGCUCUGGUGGUGUCCUGCAGCAGGUGGGCAGGUCGUCCCCACACAGGUGGUUGCCACCAUGUCUGUCUUUUGGGCCCCUCGAGGUGGGCAGGCUGUUCAUCUGACUCUGAACUGGAGCUGCUGCUAUCAUCCCGGGCUUCAUCAGCUGCAGCGAGGCGCCUGCGGAGAGAGGAAUGUGCUGAGGGCACAGGAGAGCCCCUGCUCUCCUUCCUCAAAGCACAUGGCAAAGAGCUGCCCUCAGCUCCCAGCCUGUGUUGGACCCAGCAGGAAGAAUGGGCUGAAGCCGAUUAAAACAUCUAACGGCGUACGUCUCAGACCAUGUUAGCCAACAACUAACUGGCCUCUCUACACUAACUGGAAGUGCCUCCGGGCUCACAGCAGCCCUACAGUAAAGAGUUAGGCAGGAUGGGGGUGGGGGUGAACA
ensembl:lncRNA